rnacentral:lncRNA from 13 species
UCGGCAGCAGGGCGGAGCGCGGCGGAGGGCAGGCGCGGCACCGGCGGGGACACGGGGGUGUGCCGUGAGAGGCGCCUCGCCAGGCUGCGGGCAGGGAGGGAGAGGGGACCGCGCGGCCGGCGGCCACAAUCUGACAGGGGCGCACGGGAGGCCGCGCGGGGAGGGCCGGGGGCGGGCCGAGGCGGGCCCGGCGGCCAGAUGGCGGGGGCUGCGGCCUGACGAGCGCCGCGUCAUUCGCGUCAGCCGGCGCGCUGCGGUAGGCCCCGCCCCUCCGUCCCCGGCCGCCGCGUGGGAGGGGCGGGGCCUGCGGCCCGCCGCCGCCUCAGGGAAGAGGAAGAAGGCCGCCGCUUAGCGCCCCGCCUCUCGCUUGGCGGGCCUAAGAGCGGAGGGGGCGGGCCAAGGGGGUCUGGGGGCGGGCCAAGGGGGUCUGGACGCAGUCACUUGUCCUCCCGCUGUCUUCCCGAAUCUCCCAGGAAUGCUAAUGUCACCCGAGGUUGCUGAGAGAAACGCUGAGCCGACCUUUCCGUUAGGCUAAAGCUCUGAAUUUUCAAACCCAGGAAUCACAGGGUCCGGGUCAUCGACUUUGCUAAAUAAUGCCUGGAAACCUGUUGCAGUCUCCUUUGAGAAAGCUAGUUUUAUGGUACCUGAAGGGCACUGGCCAUACCAGGCCCCUAAACCGGGUCACGGAUGUGGGAGAGACUAACUAGGGUGGCUCUCACUCUUCUGGCCUUUCCCUGAGGCUCGGGACCAGGAACGAGGUUCCAAGUAGCUGGAUUGAAAGUAUUCUGAUCUGAGGACUGGCAGUGCACAAGAGUGUCCCCCGCCCCACCCCCACCCGUAUGCAGCAUAAGGAAAUGAAGAAAAGACUGCCCGGGUCAAUAAACCUGGACGUGGCAAAUUUCAAAGAAAGUAAUUCAAACACAGGUUGCACAAACCAUGAUAAUGGCCAGCAUGGAUGGAGGGAGCAUCUGAGAUGUGCAGGGCACUGUGCUACAUCUCAGCUAACUCUAGGAGAGAUUUUUGGCCACUGUUUUGCCCAGGCUCGUCUCAAACUCCUGACAUAAAGCGAUCCUCUGGCCUCUUGACCUCCCAAAAUGUUGGAUUAUAGGUGUAAGCCACUGCUUCUAGCCCCUGUGUAUGUAUUUUUAUGUAAAAUGUAAUAAAAUGUUUUUUCUCAACUGGACA